rnacentral:lncRNA from 1 species
GAGGAUCAACGGACAGAAACUGUAAGAUAAACCUUAAAGAGAUGUGUGCAGAUCUUUAAAACAAAAGAUACAUCCCUUGGAUUUUGUUAGCUCCCUGAACUUACCAUAGGAAUCUCUUAUGUAAUGGAGCUAGCAUUAUCUUUUGUACCUACUUCAUCUUCUUGAUGCCAUUAACGAACUUACUUAGUAUAUCAAAAAUAAGAAUAAAAAUAGCAGAUACAUCCUCCACUCUUUUGUACCUACUUCAUCUUCUUUAUGCCAUUAACGAACUUACUUAGUAUAUCAAAAAUAAGAAUAAAAAUAGCAGAUACAGCCUCCAUUCUAAAAGAAUAACAAAGUUUAAAGUAUGAGAAUCAACUGUUCUACUUUCGGCAGACAUUUGGAUAUCGCUUCCACAAUUUUAUAAAUUAUUUCGAACCUACACAGAAUACUCCCUCCAUCAUAUUUUAAGUGAAUGUGCUUGGUUGACUGGACACAGAGUUUAGGGUAUUUCAAUCAGAGUGAAAGAAAAUAGUAAAGUAGGGACAAAUGAGUUCAUAGAGAAAACAACAUAUCAAAGUUUCGGAGCUAAAUCUUUAAUGAGUUUGAAAUUCUUUAAAAUUGUAAGAAAAAAAUGUAUAGGAUAAUACUAUUAGUUGCACGGCAUAAAACAUUUUGAACGGCCCGAAAAUGAAAGUGUCAUGUAACUUUGAGUGACGGGAGUACUAUAAAUUACAACUUUUUACAAUUAAAAAUAUUUUUAAAAUGAUUGAAGAAAAUGUAGUAAAAGAAACAUCAACUUCCCAAAUGAUAACAGUAACGUAUAUAAUAGGGCAGAAGAAAAAAUGUAAAGGUGUACAGUUUUAC